AAGGGAGACCUAAUUCCAGUAGGAGACGAAAAAAAAGUAGUCCCUACCAAGAAUCAAUCCCAAAAGGUCGGAGCGAGGCAAAAUUGGCUUUCAAACUAGGUUCUGGGUUCACACAAGACCUGAAUCAGGAACAAGGGCUAUUAGCUCAGGUGGUUAGAGCGCACCUCUGAUAAGGGUGAGGUCCCUGGUUCGAGUCCAGGAUGGCCCACCUGCACAGGUGGAAGAAAGAAAAGAAGCUCCGAAUCAGCACCUUAUCUUACUUAUAUAGUAAGAGAGAAUGCUGGCUCUGAGUACAGAGUCCAGAGGAACCUUGAAAACUGCAUAGAGCUAGGUGAAAAAGCCAAAAAAGAAGACCGCAAGGUCAAGCUAAUAAGGGCUAACGGUGGAUACCUAGGCAC
rnacentral:tRNA from 1 species